AUGGACGCAACAGAAGGUAGCCCUGGCGCUGGCCUGCCACGCCCAUCCGAGUUUGAUUUCAUGUUCACCGACGAGGGGUGGGCCUUGCUGUCCGAGGAGAGACGCCGUUCAAUUAUAGGAGUUCUGGAUCAGGACAGAGAGGAGAAGACUCGCCUCCCACAGCGCCGUCAGGCCCGGAUGGACUGCCGCAAGGCCCUGCCGGAUCAUACUCGGCCGGACAAACAGAUACACCCUAGUAAGAGCCUCGACACUAACCUGUCCAGGGAUAUUCGGGAUUCAGAUGACCUUUUGUGGAUCCGACAGCAUCGCGUGCUCAACCAUUCAGACUUUGCGCUGCCGCCAAUGCGCUAUACUUCCUGCCAACUCCUCGGGACGGAUGCUCUCAUUAUCCUCACCCAAUGCUGCAAUUCCUUGAAUGGUGGUUAUCUAAGUCUAAGCUACCCUGCACGGGGCAUAUCUGCAAUGGGCUGCCUGAUUGAAAUUGAUAUAAGGAUCAAGGGCAAGGAUGUUGACAAAGAUUUGUCAAUUAUUGAUGGAUCUGUGAAAGCCUUUGGGCAGUUUGACUCGAGGACUGCUAACCAUGUUGAUAACAUCAAUGGUAAAAUUAUAUUGAAGACACAUGUUGUUCGUAAAGGUGUUGAGGCAACUAUAGACCUCGAUUUUGUCGAGGUGCCAACAGGCGGCUUCAAUGUGCGGAUGCGUGACUUCAUGGAGAAGAAGCGAGAAGCGCUCUCUUUUGUAUCAUCCAAGCACGGCAACGAGCAGCUAACUUACCGAUUCAGCAAUGGAGCUUUGGUCCUUGUUAAAGUCUUUUGGUCAACCAUCGUCGACGGUUGGCCAUUGGGUCUGUAA
rnacentral:rRNA from 1 species